GCUGCCCCUUCAGAGCAGGACAAGAGCACAGGAACAUCCCUUAAAGCUGAUUUUGCCAUGCAGGAAUCUCUUGUGUCCCUUCCCACAGGCAGAGGGGAGGGAAUGAGGAGAUACUGAUGAGCUGAACCCUGUGCCUGCAUUGGGAUUUUUGUCUCCCAGGGAGAUCAGAGAUCAUGGAGAACAGCAAGAAGGAUGAAAAACCCCAAAAAUCUCAGGGAAAGGCGGGGUGGUGCAUGUAUCUGAGCUGCAGAGCUGGAGAACAAAAAGGUGGCUGUUAGGAAGGAGGGGCAGAAGUAGAGUUAAAGGCUUAGAACAUGGAAAAGCCUCUCCCUGGAGAAAGGAAGGCUCUGUUCCUGUGGCAUUGUCCCAGGACUCAGCAGGAAAGGGUGAAAGAACAACUCCUGAGGGUGCCUGGCCUUUGGCCAGUGUCACACCAUGACAGCCUCUCACAAUGCACAACCCCUCUGUCCUGCUGCCUCUCCAUUGUCCUCAGCUUCAUCCUGCUGGUUCUCCAUAGUCUCCAGCUUCUUCCUGGUGGUUCUCCAUUGUCCUCACCUUCAUCCUGCUGGUUCUUCAUUGUCUCCAGCUUCAUCCUGGUGGUUCUUCAAGGUGGUGGCUCAGGAACCUCUGUUCUGAAGAGCGUUUGUGUGUUGGAGCUGUACAAAAGUGCUCUUCUUCAGCCUCAUUGCCUGCCUGGCCCAGUGCUGACGUCCUGCAGCUGUAACCUCAGCCCUGGGCUCUGUGGAGGGAAGGAAUCCCAGCCUGUCCAUGCUCAGCCCCAUGAGUGCCACAGCUCUGGGAGCCAGAGCCAGCCCAGCAACUGGGAGUGAUGGGAUCCCAUGAAAGGCCUCCU